ACUGAGACUCGUGAUUGACGCAAGCGAUGUUACUAAAUUUAGCAGCUGGUUGCCCCGUGGUUUGAGAUAGCAGAUCCUUCAUUCAUUGCGCCGGGGCGGGUCCGUUUAUUUUAGACAUUUGAUUGUGUUCCAGCCAAUCCAAAUAUAGUCGUAGACAGGUAUUUUUAGCGGAAGCGUGUCCCCGUUACCUCUUACCAAGGAACAACCUUAUGAUAUCCCCAUACUGUAAUGGGAGAAAGUAUAAUGACUUCUCAAAAUGGUACGUGUAUGUGCUUUUACUGAAUGCACCGGCAGGAAAUGUUGCUCUCAAGCAAGCACCCCAACAUAGUCAUGAAUAUGCUACAGAAGAGCAAUGGGCGAGGAGGUCACCAUCUCCUGCUAAUAUAUGGACAUGCGUGAGCGCCACGGU